rnacentral:rRNA from 1 species
GACGAACGCUGGCGGCGUGCUUAACACAUGCAAGUGGAGCGACGAACCAGGCUUCGGCCUGGGGGCAAAGCCGCGAACGGGUGAGUAACACGUGGGUAACCUGCCCCGAUGACUGGGACGAACCCGGGGAAACCCGGGACGUAAUACCGGAUGUGCUCUCAUCACAUCAGUGAUGUGAGUAAAGGUAGCUUCGGCCUCCGCAUCGGGAGUGGGCCCGGCCGGCCCACUUAGCUUGUUGGUGGGGUAACGGCCUACCAAGGCGACGAUGGUAGCUGGUCUGAGAGGACGAUCAGCCACACUGAGACUGAGACACGG